AUAAAGUAAGCUAAAAUAAAUAAGCUAGUGGGCUCAUACCCCAAAAAUGAUUAUUAUUCCUUUAUU
rnacentral:tRNA from 1 species